rnacentral:snRNA from 1 species
GUGCUCGCUUCAGCAGCACAUAUGCUAAAAUGAUGCAGAGAAGAUUAGUAUGGUCCCUGAGCAAGGCUGAUACACAAAUUUGUGAAACGUUCCAUAUAAAA